ACGCUCGACACCUACUGGAGGCAGCAGUGGGGAAUAUUGCACAAUGGGGGAAACCCUGAUGCAGCGACGCCGCGUGGAGGAAGAAGGUCUUCGGAUUGUAAACUCCUGUUGUUGGGGAAAAAGAGGAUGGUACCCAACAAGGAAGUGACGGCUAACUACGUACCACGCAGCCGCGGUAAUCUGAGCGGGCGUGGCGAAGGC
rnacentral:rRNA from 1 species